GACGUAGGGGGCGAGCGUUGUCCGGAUUCAUUGGGCGUAAAGCGCGCGCAGGCGGCCCGGUAAGUCGGAUGUGAAAUCCCACGGCUCAACCGUGGAACUGCAUUCGAUACUGUCGGGCUAGAGGCAGGUAGGGGAGAUCGGAAUUCCUGGUGUAGCGGUGAAAUGCGCAGAUAUCAGGAGGAACACCGGUGGCGAAGGCGGGUCUCUGGACAGUUCCUGACGCUGAGGCACGAAGGCCAGGGGAGCAAACGGG
rnacentral:rRNA from 1 species